UCCAGAAAAUGGCAUUUCCAAAUGGUGUAGAAUCUGCACAAGAACUCCUUGACGCUCAAGCUCAUGUUUGGAACAAUUUCUUUACAAUCCUCACCGAGCCAACAUGACUCUUUAUAUCAUGGACGGAGAGAAUAUAAAUAUUGUUCUCCAUCCAUCCCACUACAAGUGAAUGUGGAUAUUGCACAACUGGAGCGACGAAGAUUGUGUUGCCAUACUAAAGAAAUGCAAGGAAGCCACAGCUUCGAGCAUCAACAAUGAGAGGAAGGUGAUUAUUAUGGACAUGAUUGUGGGUGAAGAUAGAGAAGAUGAUGAAGCUACUGAAACUAAGCUCCUUUUUGAUGUUCGAGUUCUGGCUCUGGCUGCAGGGAAAGAAAGAUCCAUGAAAGAAUGGGCCAACAUCUUCUAUGCUUCUGGCUUCACAAGAUAUAAUAUUACUCCCUUAGGAUUGAGGUCUGUGAUUGAGGUUUAUCCUUAAUUGUGUUCUGUUUAUUGUCUUGUUUAAAAUAAGAUCAUCUCUACUUGAAACAUGUCAUAAAUUGUUGUGUUUGUCUAUAUCAAAUGUAUUUCUGUUUUCUAGUCAAUGUGUGUCUAUGUGUCACUUAAUAAUGUGUAUUUUACUUUUAUAAUUGAUAUUAAGAUCGAUUAAUGUUUGUAGAUA